rnacentral:rRNA from 1 species
UACGGAGGGUGCAAGCGUUAAUCGGAAUUACUGGGCGUAAAGCGUGCGUAGGCGGUUUCUUAAGUCUGCUGUGAAAUCCCCGGGCUCAACCUGGGAAUGGCAGUGGAUACUGGGAGGCUAGAGUGUGUCAGAGGAUGGUGGAAUUCCCGGUGUAGCGGUGAAAUGCGUAGAGAUGUGGAGGAAUACCGAUGGCGAAGGCAGCCCCCUGGGAUAACACUGACGCUCAUGCACGAAAGCGUGGGGAGCAAACAGG